rnacentral:misc_RNA from 1 species
GAAAUUUAGGACAAAGCCACUUUUCUUAGAACUGCAUAUCUGUGAUUUUAUAUAAUUCAUUUUUGUUGAUUUAUUUUUGUUGUGUGGAGUUUUAAUAUUUAUUUUAUUUUUACCACUUGAAACAAGUGUGCACCAAUCCGAAUUGCUCAAGAGAAAUUCUGAACUUAUUUUGCUGGUGCUUUGUACUACAGCUUGGAAUAUUUUCUGAAAGGAAAGAAAACAACCAGUUUAAUGUGUGUGAAAAAAUUAUUGUUGCAGAUUGUUGUUGGCAAGGAUUCUAACAGUAUUAAGUAUUUGCUCGAAAGUUUAACUUGUUGAUUUUUGAAUUUACAAAUUUUAUCUGUAUAUUAACCUUGUUGCAUGAUUUCUAAUAUCAGUAUUACACACAAAGCGUGCUUUUAUAUAUAUACACCCUUUUGCCAUUGUUUUUUACCCCCCUUUUUCAUAUGUAUAAUUUUAUUAUGCUGUAUUAGCCACUGUUUACAUAUAUUGCACAGUAUUAUAUACACCAAUUCCUAUUUUAUAUAGGUUCCCCCCUUUUCUGUGAUAAUUGUAUAUAUCAAUGCUUUGACGGAAUUCCACCUCUACGGCUUCAAUAGUCGGCUUCAGUAGUCCACGAUCCUGUUCUCUUACCUAUGUUGGUAAAUAUUUUACGUUCUUAAGAUUGUUCAAAGCAAUAAAGAUUAAUUUUGCA